AAAAAAAUCUUCCUUUUUUAACCGUCUUUAAAAAUACUGCAGGAAUGAAAAUUAUACGUGACAUUAAAGAGUUGUAGCGUUAAAAAGAUGAUAUUGCUUAAAAUUGUUUGAUUAUUGGUACUUGAAUCUGACUUUAAACCGGUUUAACACAAACAUACAAUUACAAUAAUCAAUACCAGGGUACAUGUAUCAUGCCAUUCGGAACUCCUCGGCCAUUUUUUUUUCAAAAACAACCUCGGAUGUAUGCCGGUACAUCAGUUGAAGUAGUUCGUAUUUGUUUGAAUUAUAUCGUUAAUUAAAUUUAGUGUCUUAGAGUUGUAUUUAUUAAUCUAAGUUUAAAUUGAUUACCAGUGAAGUGUAUUAUUGCAAACAUAAAUAAGAUUCCCGAGAGUUAAGACAUAAAGUUUAACUGCUAAAUAAAAUUACUACGCGAUCUACUUGCAGCGGACUUAAACGUACCUCUUUUUGAGUAUGUAAACCGUCCAAAUACAUCCGAGGUUGUUUUUGAAAAAAAUGGCCGAGGAGUUCCGAAUGGUAUCAUGCUGGAAAAUUACGAAUGUGUCAGACGAAUUAUUUUGUUUUUCAUAGAAGAUAAACAAAAUCAUCGAGCUUUGCAGAACGAUGAAUCAGAAUGACUGAAUGACACUAAGUUUUGCAAAAUGGAUAUAUCCCUAACUUCCAUGGCCUUCGACAUAUUUGAGUGGGAUCCUGAAACAACCUCUGACACAACAACUUAAUUUACAAGAACAACCCUGCGUAUAAGAACUACAAUACUUCUGACAAAAACAAACAAAAGCAACUCCAGAUAUAUGAACAACUCUGAUUACUAGAACAUGAACACCAACCCCAUCUUCAAGAACAACAACUUCAACCCCACAACAUCAACACUUCCUGCAGGGACAACUACAAAAACAUCGGCUUCAAGAACAAAUUCAUCCUAAACACAAACAUCAGCAACAACAGCUACCCGAAUGAAACUACUCGAACUACAAGAACACCAGCAACACACUCUUUAAGAACACCAGCAUCAUCAUCUUCUUCUAGACUUGCAAAUGCAACAAACACCAAAGACAAAGUUGAAUGGCUAACUUCAAUGGAGAGGACAGAGUAAUGGCAAAAAGACGAUCAUUUUAAAGAGAGGAGGAAGAGUGAUAUGUAAAGAGUGUUCUGAGGCCAGGAUAUCAGCAGUGCGUUCAGUCAUGCGAGCGUUUUGUAUCUCUGUUGCAACGCAGCGCAUAUACGUUAAGCAGGAAACCAAACAGCAAACGUUCGCCGCAAACAUCUUUCAUCUUUACUGAACGCGUUGCAGAUUCACGAUGGGGGAGGGAGGGGGGGGGGGCGGUGGAACAAUUUUCGAGAAUUAUUGACAUACAUGUGUAUAAAUAUAUAUAUAUAUCAUGGUAGGAACUGUUUGCCUUGUCAACUGUGACUUAAAUAUUUAGUUCUUGUGUCAGCCUGUGCUUAUCUCAAAUAUUUAAUGACAUUUUUUUGGUUUGUUUGAUAGACAUGAUAAUUAUAUAACUAUUAAAUAUAAAUGGCAACAAUUAUAGAUAAAACAUUGUAACUCAGGUUAACUUUAUAAUAGAUAAUUAAUUGUUUAUAUGCAAUAUAUAUUAAAGGAUGCAUAUUUCUUUUAUUCUUGAAUCUAAUUUUUGUGUGUUUUUUUUCAUAUAUCGAAAAUGUUUUUCAUGAAUGUGGGUUUUUAAUUCUUUGUCAGUCUCAGAAGAAUUAAACAACUUGUGUUGAAUUUAUUUGCUAGACUGAAACUAGGCUGUUAAUUUUGGUCAGACUAAUUGAAUCAGAGAAUAAUAUGUACAGCUAAUCGGAUUACUGACCAAUAGAGUGAAUUUAGUCAAUGAUGUAUGACCCUAAGAUUAAGAUUGACUUAAAGCUGCACUCUCACAGAUUGAAGUGAACUUCUUUAUUUUUUGGCUUGGAAAGAGCCAAUUUAUGCGAAAAUGCAUGAACAAUAGUGUCAUAAGACUGCACACUUUCUUAUUUAAGUUCAAGAAGUGAUGUUGAAUGCCAUUUCAUUAAUUUUCGAACAGAAAUCUACAAAUCUGCGAUCUGAUCUUUUGUCAGCAGUCUGAUUUGCAAAAAAGAAUGUAGAAAUUUGCUCAUUUAAGACAAAAAAAUAGAACAGCUGUCAAAACCGUAAAUCUGUGAGUGUGCAGCUUAUUUGCAUAUUUUGAACUUAUGUUUCUUCAUUCGUUUUUUUCAUUUUUAAAGUUAUUAUCAAUUUAGAUCUUAGAAUAUUGUUUUUAUGUUGAUUUAUAAAUAUAUAACAGUAUUAUACUAAUAUCAAAGUAAAUUUGUACUGGCCAAUUUUAAAUGGACAGUUAAAGCUGUACACUCACAGAUAUACAAUUUUUACAACUCUUAUAUUUUUGUCUUGGAAAAAGCACAUUUUUGCGUAAAUAUCUGUAAACCAGUGAUAAAAGAUUGCUGCCAAAAUAUCAAAUUGCGGACUUUCAUAUUUAUGUUUGAAAAUUAAUGUUUUAUUGCAUAAGAACUGAAAUAUAAAGAUCUACAAUCUAAUUUUUCAGCAGUCUUAUUUAACUGUUUUCUAUGGAAUUUCGAAAACUAUGGCUCCAAAACAAAAAAUAAAAAAAUUGUCAAACGUUCAAUUUGUGAGAGUGCAGCUUUAAUAAAUGGUUAAAUGUUGUUGUUUUUUUAAUUCUGAUUUUUAUAAUAAGUUGAUGAUCGCCAUGUAUCAUUGAUAAAACAUGUAAAAAAAAAAAAUCUUGUUUAUUUUCCAACGCUGUUUUGCAUUUAAAUUUGCUCUCCAAAAACUUCUGAUAUGUGGUUUUAAAAUGUGUGUUCAUCCUUUAUUCAGCUAGUGGAUGGAAUUCAUUAAACUCCUGUAUUCAGUACACCAUGCAGCUCUUCCAAUUGUUUGAAUGCAAUUAUUUCACAGAAUCUGAUAAUAGAGGGACCGGACUCAAGAUUCUACAUUGCAAGAAAAAGUGAAAAUUGUCAAAAUUUAUCAUCAAACUGUUAUGUUUCAACAGUGUACAGUGCACUGAAUCUUACUUAUGUAAUCAUAUAAGUCGAAAUUAACUCACUUUGUCUACCAUGUAAAUCGAAGUAAAUUUAGAAAUAGCAAUCAUGUAUUUAUCUGUAUAUAUGUUUAUGUGACCUUUACAUGCUUAAAGUAGAUAUGAUAAUACUAAUAAACGGGAAAAUCAUUA